GAUGAACGCUGACAGAAUGCUUAACACAUGCAAGUCAGCAGGGGCGGACGGGUGAGUAACGCGUAAAGAACUUGCCUCACAGAUAGGGACAACAUUUGGAAACGAAUGCUAAUACCUGAUACUGUGAGAGAGCUUUGCGUCCCAUUUGGUAGUUGGCGAUGUAACGGCUCACCAAGGCGAGGAUGGGGAGCCGGCCUGCGUGGGUGAUCGGCCACAAGGGGACUGGUACACGGCCCUGACUCCUACUGGAGGCAGCAGUGGGGAAUAUUGGACAAUGGACCAAAGUCUGCGCCAGCAAUUCUGUGUGCACGAUGAAUUUUUCGGAAUGUAAAUUGCUUUCAGUUGGGAAGCCGCACCAACAGAAGAAGUGACGGCUAAAUCCGUGCCAGCAGCCGCGGUAAUAC
rnacentral:rRNA from 1 species